CCUCCGGGAGGCAGCAGUGGGGAAUUUUGGACAAUGGGCGCAAGCCUGAUCCAGCAAUGCCGCGUGAGUGAAGAAGGCCUUCGGGUUGUAAAGCUCUUUUGUCAGGGAAGAAACGGUUGGGGCUAAUAUCCUCGGCUAAUGACGGUACCUGAAGAAUAAGCACCGGCUAACUACGUGCCAGCAGCCGCGGUAAUACGUAGGGUGCAAGCGUUAAUCGGAAUUACUGGGCGUAAAGCGUGCGCAGGCGGUUUUGUAAGUCUGUCGUGAAAGCCCCGGGCUUAACCUGGGAAUUGCGAUGGAGACUGCAAGGCUUGAAUCUGGCAGAGGGGGGUAGAAUUCCACGUGUAGCAGUGAAAUGCGUAGAGAUGUGGAGGAACACCGAUGGCGAAGGCAGCCCCCUGGGUCAAGAUUGACGCUCAUGCACGAAAGCGUGGGGAGCAAACAGGAUUAGAUACCCUGGUAGUCCACGCCCUAAACGAUGUCUACUAGUUGUCGGGUCUUAAUUGACUUGGUAACGCAGUUAACGCGUGAAGUAGACCGCCUGGGGAGUACGGUCGCAAGNUUAAAACNCAAAUGAGUAGAGNGNGAGAGAGCGAGACGACGACGAGGAGGAGG
rnacentral:rRNA from 1 species